rnacentral:rRNA from 1 species
CCUACGGGAGGCAGCAGUGGGGGAUAUUGCACAAUGGGGGAAACCCUGAUGCAGCGACGCCGCGUGGGCGAAGAAGUAUUUCGGUAUGUAAAGCCCUAUCAGCAGGGAAGAAGAAAUGACGGUACCUGAGUAAGAAGCACCGGCUAAAUACGUGCCAGCAGCCGCGGUAAUACGUAUGGUGCAAGCGUUAUCCGGAUUUACUGGGUGGAAAGGGAGCGCAGGCGGCACGGCAAGCCUGAUGUGAAAGCCCGCGGCCCAACCGCGGGACUGCAUUGGGAACUACCGGGCUGGAGUGCCGGAGAUGGAGGCGGAAUUCCUAGUGGAGCGGUGAAAUGCGUAGAUAUUAGGAGGAACACCAGUGGCGAAGGCGGCCUACUGGACGGUGACUGACGCUGAGGCUCGAAAGCGUGGGGAGCAAACAGGAUUAGAUACCCUUGUAGUC